rnacentral:tmRNA from 1 species
GGGAUCGUAAAGGUUUCGACGGGGGCUGUGAACCUCGCUAAGCAUGCAGAGUUCGCCUAAACUCUUUAAUAAUGGGCAAUUUUAAAAUUAAACGCAGAUUAUAGAUCUGAACUCGUAGCUGCCUAAGCGCAGCUGCCGUCCACCCCGAGAGUACUGCGGCUUGGGCUUGGGCGUCGAUGAGCAGUGAACUUUAUCAGUGAGAGCCUCGCA